rnacentral:rRNA from 1 species
GAUGAACGCUGGCGGCGUGCCUAACACAUGCAAGUCGAGCGAAGCACUUUGCUUAGAUUCUUCGGAUGAAGAGGAUUGUGACUGAGCGGCGGACGGGUGAGUAACGCGUGGGUAACCUGCCUCAUACAGGGGGAUAACAGUUAGAAAUGACUGCUAAUACCGCAUAAGACCACAGCACCGCAUGGUGCGGGGGUAAAAACUCCGGUGGUAUGAGAUGGACCCGCGUCUGAUUAGCUAGUUGGUAAGGUAACGGCUUACCAAGGCGACGAUCAGUAGCCGACCUGAGAGGGUGACCGGCCACAUUGGGACUGAGACACGGCCCAAACUCCUACGGGAGGCAGCAGUGGGGAAUAUUGCACAAUGGGGGAAACCCUGAUGCAGCGACGCCGCGUGAGCGAAGAAGUAUUUCGGUAUGUAAAGCUCUAUCAGCAGGGAAGAAAAUGACG